CAGUAGCCGCGGUAAUACGUAGGUCCCGAGCGUUGUCCGGAUUUAUUGGGCGUAAAGCGAGCGCAGGCUGUUAGAUAAGUCUGAAGUUAAAGGCUGUGGCUUAACCAUAGUACGCUUUGGAAACUGUUUAACUUGAGUGCAAGAGGGGAGAGUGGAAUUCCAUGUGUAGCGGUGAAAUGCGUAGAUAUAUGGAGGAACACCGGUGGCGAAAGCGGCUCUCUGGCUUGUAACUGACGCUGAGGCUCGAAAGCGUGGGGAGCAAACAGGAUUAGAUACCCGUGUAGUCCCUGUCUCUUAUACA
rnacentral:rRNA from 1 species